UGCAGGCAAAUCCUUCUGCCAUUAUGUCACAUGGGACGGUUAUUGGCCCUGCAUUAGCAGAGUGUUUAAAAGAUAUAAAUACCCCUGUUAGACUUGCUGCAGAACGAUGCGCUCUACAUGCCUUCCAACUAACAAAGGGUUCGGAAAAUGUUCAAGCAGUACAGAAGUAUAUUACCGGUUUGGAUGCUAGACGGCUAUCAAAGUUUCCUGAACAUAGGGUUUAGUGCCCUUAGCUGGCUCAAACAAUGAAUCAUGGUGCCAAGGUCUAGACGAUCUUGCUUCUCGUUCGACUACAUACUACCAGCAAGGUGCCAGUUUCGCCAAAUGGUAAGUGUAUGCUUGCAUUGGUACUACUUGUCAUGAUCAUUUUAUUAACCAUACGAGUUUCUAUCGUAUAUUAGGCGUACUGUCGUGAGCAUCCCCAACGGUCCUUCUGCUCUUGCUGUCAAGGAAGCAGCCUGGGGUCUUGCUCGCUAUGCUGCAAUUAGUCAGAUUUGAGAAAGAUUUGAUUAAAUCGUCUUCGACUACUGUCUUUAGUUCAAAAUCAAAAGGUUGAGGAGCAAAAUCUACAAGAUCAAAUGCAAAUAGUUGAAG